AUAUUAUGAAAACAUCGCCAUAUUUCACCGCGGAGAACGAGAGCGGAAGCGCUCGUCUCUCCCAACAAAUUCCCUCAACCUUUUCAAGGAAGAGCAGAAAAGGAACCAGAGUUUUUGCCGUACAAAUAUUCCUGGUCUCCAAACCCUCGAAAGAGAAAAGAAAACCCAGGGAUCUCUUAGCAAAUCGAUGCAGCUUUUCGUUCUCUCUUUCUUCCGCCAUCGCCGCAUUCGGAUUUCCUAGCUCUCCGUCUCUGAAUCCUUCGUUAGAGAUCGAACGAGACCCGGAUCUCGACGGCGAUUGGGAAAAUUAGAGGGAGCGAGGGGAAAACCUGAGGAGAAAAUGGUCAACCGGCUGAAAGAGGAUGAGAAGAACGAGAAAAUAAUCCGAGGGCUGCUGAAGCUUCAUGCGAACCGGAGAUGCAUUAAUUGCAAUAAUCUGAUUCUCUGAGCAUUCAACCCCAAAUGUUCUGUUUGUCUGUCAUACUACGAGCUUGGGGAGAUUCAUGGAUUGCUGCAAACAUCUUUUGUUGACCUGAAUAAAAAGGUGGUCAAGUGAACGGUUUGAUUUUCCCUGUUUAAUCCAAAUGCCCAAUCAGACAUUGAGAUUUUCCAUAACGCAAAAGACAUGGAAGCUAAUGUCUGGAAACUGAUCUGUAAUGGAGAAUAGAAAUGUUUUGCACCUUUGAGCAGAAGAACCAACCUGUCUAGAGGUUUGAGUGCUCAUAAAACUACCAAAUGGCACUGACAGAGCAUGCAGAAGACUGGAGUUAGUAACACCCAGAAACUCGGUUAAGAGUUUUACUAAUGUUCUUAAUCCAUAUACCUACCACAUGAGACGACAUUUUCUCUGGAAAUCCCUGGAAUAUCGAACUUAGUGGCAACCUAAUUCUUUUAAUAUAAAGUUAGGGAGAAAAGACUUAAUUCAUUGCAUCAUGAAUAUCCGUGACAUACUACAUAUCCAAGAGCAAGUUAGAAUUCUGAAA